rnacentral:rRNA from 1 species
AUUGAACGCUGGCGGAAUGCUUUACACAUGCAAGUCGAACGGCAGCACGGGGCAACCUGGUGGCGAGUGGCGAACGGGUGAGUAAUACAUCGGAACGUGCCCAAUCGUGGGGGAUAACGUAGCGAAAGUUACGCUAAUACCGCAUACGAUCUACGGAUGAAAGCGGGGGAUCGCAAGACCUCGCGCGAAUGGAGCGGCCGAUGUCAGAUUAGGAGUUGGUGGGGUAAAGGCUCACCAAGCCGACGAUCUGUAGCUGGUCUGAGAGGACGACCAGCCACACUGGGACUGAGACACGGCCCAGACUCCUACGGGAGGCAGCAGUGGGGAAUUUUGGAC